CGGGACGGGUGAGUAAUGUCGUGGGAAACUGCCUGAUGGGGGGGGAUAACUGCUGGAAACGGUAGCUAAUACCGCAUAACGUCGCAAGACCAAAGGGGGGGACCUUCGGGCCUCUUGCCAUCGGAUGUGCCCAGAUGGGAUUAGCUAGUAGGUGGGGUAACGGCUCACCUAGGCGACGAUCCCUAGCUGGUCUGAGAGGAUGACCAGCCACACUGGAACUGAGACACGGUCCAG
rnacentral:rRNA from 1 species